AACUCUCACCUGCAGCACUCUUUUAUUAGAAAGCUGGAGCGUGGACGUGAGUGCUGCUGGUGCCCUCGCUGCAUCGGCUCACUUGAAAUUUAUUAGCUGAAUCCUCUAGUGUUGGUUCUACUCGACGUGAUAAGAUCUCCGUCGAGGACAGUGCUCCUUGUGGGCGUUGGCCACUGCUAGCUGUUGAUACGCUCCUAAUUAGCGCAGACUUCGAGUGCUGGCAACUUUUGACA
rnacentral:misc_RNA from 1 species